rnacentral:rRNA from 1 species
UACGGAGGGUGCAAGCGUUAAUCGGAAUUACUGGGCGUAAAGCGCGCGUAGGCGGUUUGGUCAGUUGGAUGUGAAAGCCCCGGGCUUAACCUGGGAACUGCAUUCAAUACUGCCAGGCUAGAGUACGGUAGAGGGGGGUAGAAUUCCACGUGUAGCGGUGAAAUGCGUAGAGAUGUGGAGGAAUACCAGUGGCGAAGGCGGCCCCCUGGACUGAUACUGACGCUGAGGUGCGAAAGCGUGGGGAGCAAACAGG